rnacentral:rRNA from 1 species
UACGUAGGUGGCAAGCGUUGUCCGGAUUUACUGGGCGUAAAGAGCGCGCAGGCGGUCGUUCAAGUCGCGUGUGAAAGCCCCCGGCUCAACUGGGGAGGGUCACGCGAUACUGAUCGACUCGAAGGCAGGAGAGGGUAGUGGAAUUCCCGGUGUAGUGGUGAAAUGCGUAGAGAUCGGGAGGAACACCUGUGGCGAAGGCGGCCCCCUGGGCCGGCCCUGACACUGAGACGCGAAGGCGUGGGGAGCGAACGGG